rnacentral:rRNA from 1 species
UACAGAGGUCCCAAGCGUUGUUCGGAUUCACUGGGCGUAAAGGGUGCGUAGGUGGUCGGGUAAGUCUGAUGUGAAAUCUCUGGGCUCAACCCAGAAAUGGCAUUGGAUACUAUCCGGCUAGAGGAGUGGAGGGGGGACUGGAAUACUUGGUGUAGCAGUGAAAUGCGUAGAUAUCAAGUGGAACACCAGUGGCGAAGGCGAGUCCCUGGACACUUCCUGACACUGAGGCACGAAAGCUAGGGGAGCAAACAGG